UCCCCCGCGGUCCCGCCCCGCGGCGAGCGGGACUCGUGCAAAAGGUGCGCUUCUUCACACGGCCCGGCCGGCGCGCGCUCGGGGGCGGGGCUCCCCCUGCGGGCCGGGCGGGUUCGCGCGGGGCUUGGGGGGGCUUCGUGACGUCACGUGUCGACCGUUGGGGCCGAGAGCGGCUGUGUGGGAGCGGGGGGCCCGCGCUGCGGGUAGCGGGUAUUGCGGUGGACGCGGCCCUGCCCGCUCCUGGCUCGGCCUGGAGCUCCCUGCUUGGGCGGAGGGGAGCUCGCUCCGUUUUCUGCCGGUGUUAGAACGGGUGGUGAGGAUAUAAUAGGUGAUGUGAUUUGGAAUAUGCUGUGAACCUGACUCUGAGGUGUUCUGGACACUAUUCGUCACUUCAAGCACCAGAUGUGGCCUUCACAUAAGGAUGGAAACUUGAAGGAGUCUCAAUAGGCUGAGCUGACACGGACUUCUGUGGGAGGCAAGCACAGGGGUGAAUUGCCCGCCAGGUCACUCUGUGUAGGUGAACAUGGAAUCAGCUGCCUGCUUAGAACAAAAGCCUCAUUGCCAAGUGAUGCAAGUCCCAGGUAGAUGGAUCCAUUUGGGUGCAUCAUACAGCAGCUCUUCUCUGAUCACACUGGUCCCUCUAGAAAGGAGCAUGAUGGUGAGAAGGUUCUCCUUGCUCUCAGUUCACCCAGAGAAAGAAAUUCAAAAUGUGCCCUAAAGGAGGUGAAAGACGCAUGAAAUCAUGUUCCAGGAUCUCAGAAAUGUGCCAGAGUCUACCAGAAGAAAAGCAAUUGAGUACCUUGCACUGGCAAGGUCUGCUGUGCUGCCUGAUGGAACAGAUAUCGUACCUCCUUUCACAACCGAGUGCUGGAGAGAGAAAUGGGCACAUCAGAAAAUAAGCACUGAGAACUUUUUGCAAACUAAUAGACUAUCUUUGUAGAAUGAACUGACCGUGGAGCCCUUUUCUCAGCACAACUGAACUUGUCCAGGUACCACACGGUAACAGUAACAGGUAUUAGAGGCAACCUUCAGAGACUGUUCUUUCAUGUGGAGUCUUCUGUUGACUUGGGAUGUACUGAGUUGUCUGCCAAGCAUUGCUCUUCUCAAGGUUAAGUAACAGUUGCAACGCAAAGGUAAAACACAUACAACACGUUAGUGUUACUGUAGGGCAGUGGCUGGAGAAACAAAAUCCACCAGCUAAACUAAGAGACAUAGUCAAUAGGAAAUAUUCUUCCCGUUUCAAACAGAAAUGGAAGAACAUUUAUUUGCCAGAAUUUUUACAGAUUUUCCCCUUCAGAUUCUCAAGAGAGGUUACAAAAUCUUAACUACGUUAUUCUGUCACACAAUAAUAAGCUGAAUUUACCAUCUCAUCAAAUUUAGUAUUACAAUUUUGGUUAGCAAAGCAAAGCAUUACUGCAUUUUCCCAAAGCGAUGCUGACCAGUAUUACUGAGGUUGGCUUGUUAUUUACUCAUUGCAGGGACAGAGAGCUUUAUCUCUUUUUUAACUUUCCCAGUUUCCCAAGGCAAAUUUUAAGAUCUGUUCAUCAUAACUCAAAGAGCUCCUUCCCAUCUUUAACACUCAUGGACCAACCUCUCUAUUUGUGUCAAUUUUUAACACUUCUGCAGUAAUAUUUACAAUUAAUUUUACUUUUAAAGUUAUUAUUAAAACUUUCCAGCCUUUAUUCAGCCGUGUUAGAUGUCAGCACAAGCUGCUCUUAAGUUCCCCAGGGAUCGCUUUUCCAGUCUCAUAGAGAAGUCUUAAGUCUUAGGUCUGACUCACUAUAGAAACAGAACACCAGGAGGACAAGCAAUGCAGAGCCCUUUUCCUCAGGCCCCAGAGAAUCUAAGCAUGUUCUGAAAAACUGAGUACCGGUGGAUUCUACCUAUACAAAGGUGUAAACAAAAAGUUUUUUUCUUCCAUAAAAAGGGGAUACAGUGAUCUCAAUUAAAAAAAUAAUAACUACCGCAUAUAACAAACCUGACCACCUCAGACGCCCAUAUUUAUCCACCAUCACACUCCCAGCCCUGCGAGCACCAUUCUCACAGCUCUGAUCAUUACUCUGCCCUAUUUGUAAGUGGGCAGCUCAAGUCUGGCACUCGCUCUGCGUGCCAAAGGGACUGACGACACGUGCUAUCUGACAGCUGCCUGAGCUGAGAAGGAUGGGAAGGAGAAGCACCUGGCACCGGAACUAAUUACAUCAGUUCUCUGUGCCCUGAGCUAACAAAGCCUUUGAAUACAUUUUGUGGUUAUCUUAUUUUAAAAUCAGCGAGAUAUGUUUCUCUCUACGCAGCAGUAUACAUACAUGACAAGACAUCCACGUACCUUUAUUUGCUGCUUUCGCUGAAAUUAGUAAUAUUUAAAUCAAAACCAACCAAAAGCCAUGUGGCAGCCAACAGAAAAGUAAGAAUACACGAUGGAGUCCUGAGAGAUAAAAAUUUAUUUAGAUCUGAUCAGCAUGUCAUGAUAUGGUCACAACUCAUACAGCUGACACUCCCGUAGCCAAAAGGACUUUUUCCUUUUUAAAAAUACAUUUUUUCUUCCCAGCAGGAAAGAUUUUUUUUUUUUUUUAAACAAACAUUUAAUAUGAGGCAGGAAUGAAUUUACAACAAUGGCUUCUCAGACCAAUGACACAGCCGGUAAGCAGUGGGUCUCCCACCCGUGUCUUCAUUUAGAUUUCAGGUUUUUCCUCCCCAGCUCCCCCACCCCUCACAGGAAAACACCACAAAAAGAAGAGCACAAAGCCCAGAAGGGAAACGAAGAGGUAGAUGGAGCUUCAGCCAUCGCUGUUGGCAAGACGUCCUCCUGUGCUCUGAGGAGUUCCUUGUUGGGUCGCAUUGCAGCACUGCACGCCAACAGGUAAUGCUGCACGUGGCAACCGAGCGCUGUGCCAGAGCUGCAGAAUGGAUGGGGCUGUCCUGCUGCACAUUUCUUUGCCCAGCUGAAGCUGUUUAAAACCAGCCUGUGCUGUUCAGAUAAUAGGUGCAUCUGCCAAAUGACUAUGGCCUUGCUCACAAGGUCAGACUCCCAUUUCUCUUAGGUAGCAGCAACCUGGGGUCAGUGGGGACCUGGGUUCUGUUCCCAGCAUCCCCUGAACUCGUAGAAACUUUGAGGGGAAUCAUUGCUACACAGCACCCUGUGCAGAAACUGCAGGCGGAGCACCCACAGUUUCCAGCAGGUACUCGAGCAGAGGAGGGCUGCAGGAAUUGCUUCCCCCAACCUGCUGCUCCACUCCUCCCCUUACACCACUGCUGCCACAGAGAGGUUCCUCUACUUGUCCUCCCCAGAGCUCCAUAACCAACACUGUCACUUAACACUCAGCUGCAUGGUGAACUGUUUUUUCCCCAGUAUUUGUAGACUUCAUGGCAAGCACAAUAGAGACUGUGCAUCUAUUAGAUACAAGCACAAUAAAUACAGCCCUCAAACAAAAUCAUCUCUGCUAUUAAGGAUUAGAAGCACAUGAAAUAACCUUGAAAAAAAAAAAUCAACUUUAUCUUGCCACACAAAAAAAAAGGGAAAAAGACACCUCAUAGUCUCUGAAGAGAAAUGCUUCUUCUGGUAUCUGCCUGCAGUUCUGAAAGACAUCUCGGCUGCUGGAAAUACCCGAUAAAAAACCCAAUGAAAUAAUUCCAGUACAAUGAAUCCAACCACAACAGCCCUCUGCACAACUGCAGAGUAACUGCGCCCAUUUGCCAUACAGAGCACGGCGUGGCUAACACGGGGGAAGGAGAACACUGGACGCUAACAUAAAUGCUAUCGAGAAAACUAACUUUUACCAUACAAAACAAACACCGUUGUAGAGAAACUUUAAAAGGACUCACUCACUGUAAGAGGACAGUUGUUCAGUGUAUCAUUAAACUUCAGUAUCUGAUGCUUAAAUCAAAGGUUUAACUUGAAAAUACACAGAAUCCUUUUAAAUCCUUUCUGCAUCCCAGGCAGAGUCCACAGCUUUUGCACAGAGAAAGUGAAAUUGCUCAGAAGUGUUCAUAAUGCACACAGACUUUUAAAGUCAGAGAACAGUUUCAGUUUUGCUCUUCCAACUGUUCUUUAAAAAAAAAAAAAAAGAAGUGUAAAAGUUAUCAAGUAUGCAAUUUUGCAAAAUAACCAUUUAUUUCGUAUGGCUGCGUUAUUUCCAAACGAUACAGUACCCGGAUGUAUCCUUACGCUGUGUGAUUGUAUCAGAGCAGCACACAGCCUCCAGCCUGCUGUCCCAGAACACACCUCCCCCAGCUCCAAGUACCUUUGGUUCCAACACUGCAUGUCAAGGCAAAGCGGAGCAGCUGAAUCUGUCACGCACAGUGAUCGGUGUAUCUGCAUUCACUUAUACAAACAAAGUUGACAGAGUUAACAGCACUUUAUGGCAAAACACCCAAAACAAUUACAUCAUUUACAAAGGGAUGAGUAACGAGCAGUACCACGGCAGUCACUUCAAUGCAGCAAGAUGCAUCCUGUUUUGAGACUCAGGGUGGAACAGGGAGAAGGAAGCUCAUAAUUUUCAGGGGAGUGAGGUUAAUUGCCAUCUUUCUUUUCCAAAUCUGAUGAGAGCAACUGAAAAAAAAAAUUCCUCCUGGAAGAGUCAUCACUGCUGAAACGUGUGGUAACAGAACCAUACGUACAGUGUAAGAGAAUCUGUAAGGAAGGUACACGCAAAGGGCACUGACAUAGAAGCGCUGCUCAUUUUGGAGGGGCAGAUAUUCUUCUUAGGAUGAAAUUCAGUACGAGCAGUGACGCUAAACCAUCGGGACUUGCAUCGUUUCCAGUGAAACUUGUUUAUGAACAAUUAAACAGAGAAACUUACAAAUGUUGAGUGCAACCCCGACAGAGAAACGUCUUUGUUCACAACAAACUUGAACCGCUAUGUUCUCACUUGUGUGUGCAACAGCUUUCAAUUUAUUUUUUUCAUCCUGCUGUCACUUUAUACAUCCUUCCACAUUAUUUCUCCUAACACAUAUUUAAAAUCACAGCAAUUAACCGUUUUGUGAUCAACUGCACGGUUCAUAAACAUUCGUGUCAAAUGCAGGUUGAA